AAGUUCGAAGAUGGCGCCGCCUGUCUGGUCGCGGUCUUAUGACGAAAUCUUGUUAGCUGCUCUUCACUGACGCCCCCACCCCAGUGCACAAGAGAUGGGGUCUCGUUAUGUUGACCAGGCUGGUCUUGAACACCUGACCUGAAGUGAUCCUCUUGCCUCAGCCUCCCAUAGUGCUGCGAUCACAGGUGUAAGUCACUGAGUUUGGCCAUUAUUCCAUUUCUGUACACAAAAACCUUUCUCAUUCUGUGCUAUAACUAGUUAGCAUUUAAUUGGGUGGAUGUGGUAUAACUAGUGCCUUGUUGAUAUUGAUGCAUAUUUACAUGGUUUUGCUGUUAUAAACAAUGGUCCCUUGCUAUUAUAAAUCACACUGCUAUAAGUAACCUUGCAUCUAAAUUACUUCAAAUGUGUAACUAUAUGGGUAGGAUAAUUUCUAGAAGUGGAAUUGUGAACCAAAGUUUUAGGUGCAUUUGUAAUUUUGAUUUAUAACCAAUCUUUUCACUGAUCUACUUCUCUGCCUCUAAUUUCUACUAGGUGUUUGUUUGUUUGUUUGUUUGUUUUGAGACAGGGUCUUGCUCUGUCACCCAGGCUGGAGGACAGUGGUGCAAUCACGGCUCACUGCAGCCUCAACCUGCCACCUCAGCCUCCUGAAUAGUUGGGGUGUGUGGCAGGUGUAUACCACCACUUCCAGGUUUUUUUGUUGUUGUUGUUUAAUAGAGAUGAGGUCUUGCUAUAUUGCCCAGGCAGGUCUCACACUACUGAGCGCAAGCGAUCCUCCUGCCUAUGCCUCCCAAAGUGCUGGGAUUACAGGUGUGAGUUGCCAUGCCUGGCCCGGUUAUCUUUCUAAAGCAUAAAGCAACCCUGUUGAUCCUCUGCUUAAUUUUGAUGAUUAAGUAGUAUGUUCAAAAUAUAGAAAUCCAUGUAUUGAUAAUGAUCUUUUAAAAAAAGUAAAAGCCAAAAUAUCAGCUACUCAUCCUACACCAUUGAAAGUAGUGACCAUUAAACUGCUCUACCUCUACCUCCACCUCUCUACCUCUCUACCUCUCUACCUCUACCUCUACCCACGGUCUCCCUCUCUUUCCAUGGUCUCCCUCUCAUGUGGAGCCGAAGCUGGACUGUACUGCUGCCAUCUCGGCUCACUGCAACCUCCCUGCCUGAUUCUCCUGCCUCAGCCUGCCGAGUGCCUGCGAUUGCAGGCACGCGCUGCCACGCCUGACUGGUUUUGGUGGAGACGGGGUUUCGCUGUGUUGGCCGGGCCGGUCUCCAGCCCCUAACCGCGAGUGAUCCGCCAGCCUCGGCCUCCCGAGGUGCCGGGAUUGCAGACGGAGUCUCGUUCACUCAGUGCUCAAUGGUGCCCAGGCUGGAGUGCAGUGGCGUGAUCUCGGCUCGCUACAACCUACACCUCCCAGCCGCCUGCCUUGGCCUCCCAAAGUGCCGAGAUUGCAGCCUCUGCCCAGCCGCCACCCCGUCUGGGAAGUGAGGAGUGUCUCUGCCUGGCCGCCCAUCGUCUGGGAUGUGAGGAGCCCCUCUGCCUGGCUGCCCAGUCUGGAAAGUGAGGAGCGUCUCCGCCCGGCCGCCAUCCCAUCUAGGAAGUGAGGAGUGCCUCUUCCCAGCCGCCAUCACAUCUAGGAAGUGAGGAGCGUCUCUGCCCGGCCGCCCAUCGUCUGAGAUGUGGGGAGCGCCUCUGCCCCGCCGCCCCAUCUGGGAUGUGAGGAGCGCCUCUGCCCGGCCGCGACCCCGUCUGGGAGGUGAGGAGCGUCUCUGCCCGGCCGCCCCGUCUGAGAAGUGAGGAGCCACCCCAUCUGGGAAGUGAGGAGCAUCUCCGCCCGGCAGCCACCCCGUCCGGGAGGGAGGUGGGGGGUCAGCCCCCCGCCCGGCCAGCCGCCCCGUCCGGGAGGGAGGUGGGGGGGUCAGCCCCCUGCCCGGCCAGCCGCCCCGUCCGGGAGGUGAGGGGCGCCUCUGCCCGGCCGCCCCUACUGGGAAGUGAGGAGCCCCUCUGCCCGGCCACCACCCCGUCUGGGAGGUGUGCCCAACAGCUCAUUGAGAACGGGCCAGGAUGACAAUGGCGGCUUUGUGGAAUAGAAAGGCGGGAAAGGUGGGGAAAAGAUUGAGAAAUCGGAUGGUUGCCGUGUCUCUGUAGAAAGAAGUAGACAUGGGAGACUUUUCAUUUUGUUCUGCACUAAGAAAAAUUCUUCUGCCUUGGGA
rnacentral:lncRNA from 1 species